rnacentral:rRNA from 1 species
UACGGGGGGAGCAAGCGUUGUUCGGAUUUACUGGGCGUAAAGGGCGCGUAGGCGGCGCAACAAGUCACUUGUGAAAUCUCCGGGCUUAACUCGGAGCGGUCAAGUGAUACUGUCGUGCUAGAGUGCGGAAGGGGCAACUGGAAUUCUCGGUGUAGCGGUGAAAUGCGUAGAUAUCGAGAGGAACACCUGCGGCGAAGGCGGGUUGCUGGGCCGACACUGACGCUGAGGCGCGAAAGCCAGGGGAGCGAACGGG